rnacentral:rRNA from 1 species
UACAGAGGUCCCAAGCGUUGUUCGGAUUCACUGGGCGUAAAGGGUGCGUAGGUGGUGAGGUAAGUCGGAUGUGAAAUCUCGGAGCUCAACUCCGAAACUGCAUUGGAAACUACCUCGCUCGAGGGUUGGAGGGGGGACUGGAAUACUUGGUGUAGCAGUGAAAUGCGUAGAUAUCAAGUGGAACACCAGUGGCGAAGGCGAGUCCCUGGACAAUACCUGACACUGAGGCACGAAAGCUAGGGGAGCAAACAGG